rnacentral:rRNA from 1 species
AAUGAACGCUGGCGGUAUGCCUAACACAUGCAAGUCGAACGGGAGCUCAGUAAGAACUUGCUCUUACGUGUGUCGCGCGGCGGACGGGUGCGUAAUACUUCGGAAUAUACUUUUUCGUGGGUGAUAACGUCGGAAAAUUUACUCUGAUACCUGAUACAUCCUACUUGGGAAGGCAGGGGAUGUUCUGGCCUUGCGCUAGUGAAUGAGCCUAUCUUGGCUUCGCUCGUUGGCUGGGUAAAGGCCAACCAAGGCGACGAUGCGUAUCUCGUCUGAGCGGAUGAUCAGCUACAUUGGAACUGAGAAACGGUACAGACUCCUACGGGAGGCAGCAGUCGGGAAUAUUGGACAAUGGGCGAAAGCCUGAUCCAGCCAUACCGCGUGGGUGAUGAAGGCCUUAGGGCUGUAAAGCCCUUUUGUUGGUAAAGAAAAGAAGCAGGUUAAUACCCCGCUGUUAUGACGGUACCCAAAGAAUAAGCACCGGCUAACUUCGUG